GCCUCUGUGGUGGAAUUUGGUAUACACGGCAGGCUAAGGACCUGUGCCUUAAUUGGCGUGCUGGUUCGAGUCCAGUCGGAGGCA
rnacentral:tRNA from 1 species